rnacentral:snRNA from 1 species
GUGUUCAUUUUUGCAGCAUAUAUCCUAAUUCUGGAAAUAUACAAAGAUUAGCAUAGGAUUUGAGCAAAGGUGACAUGAAAAUUUAUGAAGCACUCCACACUGAA